rnacentral:rRNA from 1 species
UUACCUGGUUUGAUCCUGCCAGUAGUCAUAUGCUUGUCUCAAAGAUUAAGCCAUGCAUGUCUAAGUGCAAGCCAAAGUAAGGUGAAACCGCGAAUGGCUCAUUAAAUCAGUUAUGGUUCCUUAGAUAAUACACCAAGUUACUUGGAUAACUGUGGUAAUUCUAGAGCUAAUACAUGCAAACAGAGUUCCGACUCGAGAGGGAAGGAACGCUUUUAUUAGAUCAAAACCAAUCGGUCUGCGCGCGCCUCGCGCGUGCGUGGGCCGCAUUGCUUUGGUGACUCUGAAUAACUACUAAGCAGAUCGCACGGUCUAGCACCGGCGACGCAUCUUUCAAAUGUCUGCCUUAUCAACUGUCGAUGGUAGGUUCUGCGCCUACCAUGGUUGUAACGGGUAACGGGGAAUCAGGGUUCGAUUCCGGAGAGGGAGCCUGAGAAACGGCUACCACAUCCAAGGAAGGCAGCAGGCGCGCAAAUUACCCACUCCCGGCACGGGGAGGUAGUGACGAAAAAUAACGAUACGGGACUCAUCCGAGGCCCCGUAAUCGGAAUGAGCACAACUUAAAUACUUUAACGAGUAUCCAUUGGAGGGCAAGUCUGGUGCCAGCAGCCGCGGUAAUUCCAGCUCCAAUAGCGUAUAUUAAAGUUGUUGCGGUUAAAAAGCUCGUAGUUGGACUUGUGUCCCACGCCGUCGGUUCGUCGCCCGUCGACGUAACCGCACGGUCAAUGACUAAGUGGGACGUCCAGCCGGUGAGGUGCAGGUCGUCCGUCGGGCGGGCCGCGUGCGCUGCGCGCGCGUCCACCUUCGCGGGUGGUCGUCGCGUCGUGGCCUCGUGGUUUCGCGCGCGGGCGGUGCCGACCUCAUUCUACUCGGCUCGGUGCUCUUAAUCGAGUGUCUUGCCGGGCCGGCUCGUUUACUUUGAACAAAUUAGAGUGCUUAAAGCAGGCUGUAAACGCUUGAAUAUUGUGUGCAUGGAAUAAUGGAAUAGGAUCUCGGUUCUAUUUUGUUGGUUUUCUGAACCAGAGAUAAUGAUUAAUAGAGACUGACGGGGGCAUUCGUAUUGCGACGUUAGAGGUGAAAUUCUUGGAUCGUCGCAAGACGAACCGAAGCGAAAGCGUUUGCCAAGAACGUUUUCUUUAAUCAAGAACGAAAGUUAGAGGUUCGAAGGCGAUCAGAUACCGCCCUAGUUCUAACCAUAAACGAUGCCAACUAGCGAUCCGCCGGUGUUCCUCCGAUGACCCGGCGGGCAGCUUCCGGGAAACCAAAGUGUUUGGGUUCCGGGGGAAGUAUGGUUGCAAAGCUGAAACUUAAAGGAAUUGACGGAAGGGCACCACCAGGAGUGGAGCCUGCGGCUUAAUUUGACUCAACACGGGAAACCUCACCAGGCCCGGACACUGGAAGGAUUGACAGAUUGAUAGCUCUUUCUUGAUUCAGUGGGUGGUGGUGCAUGGCCGUUCUUAGUUGGUGGAGCGAUUUGUCUGGUUAAUUCCGAUAACGAACGAGACUCUGGCCUGCUAACUAGUCGCGCAAUCAAACGACAUCCGCAUUCGUGCUGUCGGCGACAACAAUAAACUCUUCUUAGAGGGACAGGCGGCUUCUAGCCGCACGAGAUUGAGCAAUAACAGGUCUGUGAUGCCCUUAGAUGUUCUGGGCCGCACGCGCGCUACACUGAAGGGAUCAACGUGUGUCUCACCCCUUGGCCGAGAGGUCCGGGUAACCCGCUGAACCCCCUUCGUGCUAGGGAUUGGGGCUUGCAAUUCUUCCCCAUGAACGAGGAAUUCCCAGUAAGCGCGAGUCAUAAGCUCGCGUUGAUUACGUCCCUGCCCUUUGUACACACCGCCCGUCGCUACUACCGAUUGAAUGAUUUAGUGAGGUCUUCGGACCGUCGCGCGGCAGCGCACGCAAGUGCCUGCCGAUGUCGACGGAAAGAUGAUCAAACUUGAUUAUUUAGAGGAAGUAAAAGUCGUAACAAGGUUUCCGUAGGUGAACCUGCGGAAGGAUCAA